rnacentral:rRNA from 1 species
UACAGAGGGCUCAAGCGUUGUUCGGAUUCAUUGGGCGUAAAGGGUGCGUAGGUGGCGGGGCAAGUCUGGUGUGAAAUCUCGGAGCUCAACUCCGAAACUGCACUGGAUACUGCCUUGCUUGAGUACUGGAGAGGAGAUUGGAAUUUACGGUGUAGCAGUGAAAUGCGUAGAUAUCGUAAGGAAGACCAGUGGCGAAGGCGAAUCUCUGGACAGUUACUGACACUGAGGCACGAAGGCCAGGGGAGCAAACGGG